ACUCCAUUAGAGCAUCUCCAACGCAAGAGCCAAAAGGGGAGAAUUAGGCAUUUUGCCUAUUGAAGUCAGAUUUCGAAGGUCCAACGCGCUCUGCAUCUGAGGAGGCAUUUUGCCAAUUCUCGUUUUGGCUCUCCACAGGUAGCCAGCAUCCAUUGCUAGGCAAAGCACUCUUCCCGCCAUUGUGUUGGCCUCCAUCGCUGCUUGUUCCAUCUCUGUUCCAGCCCAUUGAUGAUCACAGGUGGAUGAGGUAGAUUUUCGAAAUGCACUCAAGGUGUUCGAAGAAAAGACAGACUAGAAUUUGGGAGGCAUGAGUUGAAUUGUGAACCCAUGUGAUGCAUGAGUUGAAUUGUAAACCCGUUUCUCUUUCUUGCCCAUUGCACAUGCUAGAGAGAGAUAGAGGUGAAUUGUUGUUUUGGUUCCAGGUUUAUUCAAGCCCAGUUCUGAAUUCUGUAUUCUUUUCUAAAAAUUUGGAUUGUAUUACAUGUUUCUGUCAUUUUAUAUGUAAUUCAAGUAGUGGGUUUUGUAGUUUCUUUGAUAGUUUGUUCAUUACGUUCUUCAUCAACUGGAUUUAGUUAGUUGCUUCAAUUCUGUCUCUGAUUCAUCA